rnacentral:lncRNA from 1 species
AUGGACAGGCCCAGGGUUCAGCCGCCACCGACGCCAGGUGAGAGGGGUUGCUCCUUCCUCGACCUCCCCACCGCAAGGCUCUGCGCGUCUUCCUCUCUCUGUCUCCCUCGCUCUGUCUCCCUGUCUCCCUUGCUCUGUCUCCCUGUUUCCCUCGCUCUGUCUCCCUCUGUCUCCCUCGCUCUGUCUCCCUCUGCCUCCCCUCUCUCUUUCUCCCUCUCCCUCUCUCCCUGUCUCUCUCUCUCUCCCUUUUUCUCUGUCCCUCUCCUCAGCUCUCUCCUUCUCUCUUCUCCCUCCUCGACCCCCUUCCUCUUCCUGUCUCUCCUCCCUAUCGCUCUCCCUCUCUCUCCUCCACCUUCCCCAUCUCUCCCUGUCUCUCAUCUGUCUCUUCCUUGCACCCCUUCUCUGUGUCUCUGUCUCCUUCCCCCAACUUUCUCUCAGUCUCCCUCAGCAACCCCUUCUCUUUCUUACUCUCCCUCUUCUCCCCCAUCUCUCUGUCUUUCCCUGGCUUGGUAUCUCCGUAUCUCUCUGUCUCCUCUCUAUCUCUAUCUCUAUCUCUGUGUCUCCCCUACUUCUCUCCAUCUGUCUCUCCCCCUUCUGUCUCUCCCCCACUUCUCUCCAUCUCUGUCUCUCCCCCACUUCUCUCAUCUCUCUCUCCCCCACUUCUAUCUCUGCCUCUCUCACACUUCUCUCCAUCUGUCUCUUCCCCACUUCUAUCUCUGUCUCUUCCCUACUUCUCUCAUCUCUAUCUCUCCCCCACUUCUGUCUCUCCCCCACUUCUCUCCAUCUGUCUCUUCCCCACUUCUAUUUCUGUCUCUCCCCCACUUCUCUCCAUCUCUGUCUCUCCCCCACUUCUCUCAUCUCUCUUUCCCCACUUCUAUCUCUGUCUCUCCCCCACUUAUCUCUGUUCCCCACUUCUAUCUCUUCCCCACUUCUCUCCAUCUCUGUCUCUCCCCCACUUCUCCCCACUUCUCUCCAUCUGUCUCUCCCCCACUUCUCUCAUCUCUAUCUCUUUCCCCACUUCUAUCUGUCUCUCCUCCACUUCUAUCUCUGUCUCUCCCCCACUUCUAUCUCUGUCUCUCCCCCACUUAUCUCUAUCUGUUCCCCACUUCUAUCUGUCUCUUCCCCACUUCUCUCCAUCUCUGUCUCUCCCCCACUUCUCCCCACUUCUCUCCAUCUGUCUCUCCCCCACUUCUCUCAUCUCUCUUUCCCCACUUCUAUCUCUGUCUCUCCUCCACUUCUAUCUCUGUCUCUCCCCCACUUCUGUCUCUCCCCCACUUAUCUCUAUCUGUUCCCCACUUCUAUCUCUGUCUCUCCCCCACUUCUCUCAUCUCUAUCUCUUCCCCACUUCUAUCUCAUCUCUGUCUCUCCCCCACUUCUCCCCACUUCUCUCCAUCUCUGUCUCUCCCCCACUUCUAUCUCUGUCUCUUCCCCACUUCUAUCUCUGUCUCUUCCCCACUUCUCUCAUCUCUUUCUCUCCCCCGCUUCUAUCUCUGUCACUCCCCCACUUCUCUGUCUCUGCCUCUCCCAUUUCUCUGUCUCUUCCCCCAUUUCUCUGCCUGUCUCUCCCCCUAUUUCUCUGUCUCUGUCUCUCCCCCAUUUCUCUAUCUCUGCCUCUCCCCCACUUCUCUGUCUCUGCCUCUCCCCCCUUUCUCUGUCUCUCCCCCUAUUUCUCUGUCUCUGUCUGUCUCUCCUGUCUCUCUCUGAGUCCUCCUCUCUCCCCAGCUCUCCAGAUGAAGUCCUCCCGGGCCUCUGCGGUCCCUGCUGAAUAAAGCUGUUUCUGUCCUCACCUCUCUCCCUUCUGCGCCUCCUUCUUUCCUUCCUCGCUCCUCUGCCUCUCAGCUCGGCCCCAAGCCCUGAUCCUGGGUCUAGGGGGUGGGAAUCCCAGAGCUGGGUAUGGGGGCUCCUCCCUCCCAGAGACAGAGAUGGAUGCAGAGAGAGAACCAGUGACAGGCACGGAGAGAGAGCAAGAGACCAAGCGACACAGAGACAAGAUGGGGCCAUAAGCUCAGAGAUGAGAGAUGGCAGGUCAGAGAUACAGCUCGUGAGAGACAGGGAGACAGAGACUUAGAGACCCAGAGACAGAGAGACCAGGCAGCACCCCCGCCCCGAUACACACAGACACAGGGGACAAGGGCCGGGCAGGGCUGGGCAGCCUCCCCUGCCCCUUCAGGCCUGGCCUGGCGUCCCCGCCCCGAUACACACAAACAGACACAGGGGACAAGGGCCAGGCAGGGCUGGGCAGCCUCCCCUCCCCCUUCAGGCCAGGCCAUGCCAGGCCAGGCAGUGCCAGGCCCAGGACAAUGGCCCCUUGUCAGGGCUCCAGAGGAGUUGGCCAGCUGGGGAGGCCUGUGGGCUGGGCCGUGGAGGAGGGGCGGCCACAGACGCCAGGUUGGUGGGGUGCACCUCCUGGGGGCCUGGCCCAGAGCCUCCACCCUCAGACUCCCCUCCUCCCCUGGCCUCCCUUCCUGGGGUCCCCCACCUGCUUCCAGCUUGCUUUCUCUGCUCUGCCUGGGGAAGGGAACAGGCAUUUAUGGAGCACCUGCCGUAUGCAUCCACAAGGCCUCCCUGCCUCUCCUCACACUUCCGCCUCCCACCUCCCUGUCCUGUCCUGGGCACCCACUUCUUGUUCCUCCUGUGAAAUGGGCAAUUAUUAAGCACCUGAAGCUUGGCAGACAAUUCCCGUAACCCAUCUGCACCUUCCAUCCUCCUGGCUUUCCUGUCCCUUCCACCCAGUUCCUUUCUCUUUCUGAUUUGCUUGGUCUCCCCUGGGAAGGCAACGGGCAUCUACUGAGCAUCUACUGUGUACCAAGGAGCUUAGGAACACUGGCUGCUCUCUUCCUACAUCCUUUUCUUCCCCCACUCCUUUCUUUCCUCUCUCUUUUUUUUUUCUUGUUUUUGAGACAAGGUCUCGCUCUGUCACCCAGGCUGGAUCGCAGUCACACAGUCGAGGCUCACUGCAGCCGCAACCUCCUGCGCUCAAGCGAUCCUCUACCCCGGCCCCCCAAGUAGCUGGAACUCCAGGCACCACCAUGUCUGGCUAAUUUUUGUAUUAUUAUUAUUAUUGCUUGAGGCGGAGUUUUGUUCUUGUCACCCAGGCUGGAGUGCAAUGAUGCGAUCUCAGCUCACUUCAAUGUCCACCUCCUGGAUUCAAGCAAUUCUCCCGCCUCAGCUUCCUGAGUAGCUGGGAUUACAGGCACCCAUCACUACACCCGGCUGAUUUUUUGUAUUUUUAACAGAGAUGGGGUUUCACCAUGUCGGUUGGGCUGGUCUUGAACUCCUGACCUCAGGUGAUCCACCCACCUCAGCCCCCACAGUGCUGGGAUUACCAGCGUGAGCCGCCUCACCGGGGCUUUCUUCCCUCUGUGGGUUUCCUCUCCUUUCUGACGUUCUGCUGUCUCCUGGCAGAGGGGGUGGACACACUGUGAGCACUUCCUGUGUACCAGGCACUGUACGUACCUCUCUCCUCGCCCUCUUCCCACCCGGUUCCUCUUCUGUCCUCUCCUUGUGUUUCUGUGCUCUCUGCCCUCUUCCAAGGCAAGGACUACACUUAUUGAGCACUUCUGGUAUGCACACAGUUCUGUCCUUUCUCUACUCUCCUCUUGCCCUUCAGUCUCCACUGAUGCCACCAGUCUCUGCUGCUUUCUGCACUCUGCCAGGGAAGAAAAUGGGCAUUUAUUGAGCACCUACUGUGUCCCCCGUGGCUCACCCGCACCGCUCCCUCCCCACGCAUCCUCUCCUCUGCCCCUCCACCCCCACGGAGGCCUCCUGGGCCAACACUUUUCCUCUUGUUCCUGUCUGAGCCUUCAUUUCCAUCUUGUUCUCGAGGAAGACAAUGUGCAUUUAUUGAGUGCCUCCUGUGUGCCCACCGCUCACCAGAGCACUUGUUCUCAUUUCCUCUCUUCCCCCUACCUCCUUCUCUCCUCCAGCUUCUCCCUUUCCUCUCUGCCCUGCCAGCUCUUUCCUGGGGGAGGAAACAGGCAAGACUGAGUGCCUGCUGUAUGCUGCCCCUUCAUCCCCACCGUCUGCUUGCCUCACAGGCUCUGUUCUCCCUUCUCUCCUUCUCUCUGCUUGCUCCCUUCCUCCUGGCUGCUUGCUCUGUGCCUGCUGCCAGGAAGUCUGUGCUUGCUGCCAGUAAGGAGAAUGGGCAUUUAUUAGGCACCUACUGUGUAUUAGUCACUUUACGUAUAUUGUCUCCUUCCCACGCAAGUCUCUUCUGUUCUCUCUGCUGGAGUUUCUUCCUCCUCCUCCUCCUCACCCUCCUCCUCCUCUCCCUUCUCCUCCUCUCCUCACUCCUCCUUUACUUUCUCCUGUCUCUUGGGGAAAAGAACACUUAACAGACAGACACCUACUGUCUGCNNNNNNNNNNNNNNNNNNNNNNNNNNNNNNNNNNNNNNNNNNNNNNNNNNNNNNNNNNNNNNNNNNNNNNNNNNNNNNNNNNNNNNNNNNNNNNNNNNNNGCCACCAGUCUCUGCUGCUUUCUGCACUCUGCCAGGGAAGAAAAUGGGCAUUUAUUGAGCACCUACUGUGUCCCCCGUGGCUCACCCGCACCGCUCCCUCCCCACGCAUCCUCUCCUCUGCCCCUCCACCCCCACGGAGGCCUCCUGGGCCAACACUUUUCCUCUUGUUCCUGUCUGAGCCUUCAUUUCCAUCUUGUUCUCGAGGAAGACAAUGUGCAUUUAUUGAGUGCCUCCUGUGUGCCCACCGCUCACCAGAGCACUUGUUCUCAUUUCCUCUCUUCCCCCUACCUCCUUCUCUCCUCCAGCUUCUCCCUUUCCUCUCUGCCCUGCCAGCUCUUUCCUGGGGGAGGAAACAGGCAAGACUGAGUGCCUGCUGUAUGCUGCCCCUUCAUCCCCACCGUCUGCUUGCCUCACAGGCUCUGUUCUCCCUUCUCUCCUUCUCUCUGCUUGCUCCCUUCCUCCUGGCUGCUUGCUCUGUGCCUGCUGCCAGGAAGUCUGUGCUUGCUGCCAGUAAGGAGAAUGGGCAUUUAUUAGGCACCUACUGUGUAUUAGUCACUUUACGUAUAUUGUCUCCUUCCCACGCAAGUCUCUUCUGUUCUCUCUGCUGGAGUUUCUUCCUCCUCCUCCUCCUCACCCUCCUCCUCCUCUCCCUUCUCCUCCUCUCCUCACUCCUCCUUUACUUUCUCCUGUCUCUUGGGGAAAAGAACACUUAACAGACAGACACCUACUGUCUGCAUCACACUUUCCACCCAUGCCCCUCUCUCACUCUAUUUUUUUUAGUCGGAGUCUCGCUCUGUCGCCCAGGCUGGAGUGCAGUGGCACAAUCUCAUCUCACUGCAACCUCUGCCUCCCGAGUUGAAGCGGAGAUUAUGGGCACCCGCCACCAUGGGUGCCUCAGCCUCCCAAGUAGCUAGGAUUACAGGUGUGCACCACCACAUUCCGGUAAUUUUUUUGAAACGAGGUUUCACUGUGUUACCCAGGCUGGUCUGGAACUCCUGACCUCAGGUGAUUCACCCGCCUCGGCCUCCCAGAGUGCUGGGAUUACAGGCAUGAGCCACUGCGCCUGGCUCCAUGCCCCUCUCUUGAGGCUGCCUAUCCUCCUGCUUUUCCUCUGCGGGAGUUUCUUCUCCUUUUUCACGUGGUCCUGGAGGGAAUGUGCAUUCAUUGAGCACUGACUGUGUGCCAGGCUUUUUAUAUGCACAGCCUCCCCUUCUCUCCCUCUGUUCCCUUUCCCUUCCUCACUCUGCCUUCCUGCUCUCUGUGCCUUCUCCUCGGAAAGGAUACCAAUUGAGCACCGACUGUAUACCUGGCGACUCUCUCUAGACCCUUCUUUCCCCUGCCCCUCCAGUCCACUGACUCUCUCUUUUUCUUCCUUCUCAGCAGUAGAAGCUCCAAACCGUUCAGAUGGCAGGAGCUUAGGUUUCCCCAGGAGUUUCAGCCACCACAGCCUAGCAUGGGCAGCCAGCCCGUAGGAAGCAGGAGGAGGGAGGACUCAGGCUGCAGCCUGAUUUCUCCCUUGGAAAAAUAGGCGAUGACAAUGGCCACUCCCUCCCAGGGCAGGGCGGGGUGCGGGAGGCUCAAGGAGGCCUCAAGAGAAUCUAGGAAGGAACGCUCUAGAAUCUGACCUGAGAGGUAGCCCAUGCCCACAGAGGGGACGCUUCUGCCAUACCUGUCACCACACUGGAUUCAAACCUGACCCUCCUUCCUCUGCCUCCGCAGCCUCCCUGCCCUGCAGGUGCUUGGCGGGUGGUCCCUGGAUUCCUCACCACCUGGGGGAGAGCAGAUGAGGAAACUGAGGUCCGGGUGGGGAAGAAGAUUCGC